CGGGGCGGCCGGCUACCAUGCAGUCGAGCGGAACGGCAGCAUUGAAGCUUCGGUGGAUUUGCUGGACGUCGAGCGGCGGACGGGUGAGUAACGGCUGGGAACCUGCCCUGACGCGGGGGAUAACCGUUGGAAACGACGGCUAAUACCGCAUAAUGUCUUAGUUCAUUACGAGCUGGGACCAAAGGUGGCCUCUACAUGUAAGCUAUCGCGUUGGGAUGGGCCCAGUUAGGAUUAGCUAGUUGGUAAGGUAAUGGCUUACCAAGGCGACAAUCCUUAGCUGGUUUGAGAGGAUGAUCAGCCACACUGGGACUGAGACACGGCCCAAACUCCUACGGGAGGCAGCAGUGGGGAAUAUUGCACAAUGGGGGAGACCCUGAUGCAGCCAUGCCGCGUGUGUGAAGAAGGCCUUCGGGUUGUAAAGCACUUUCAGCAGUGAGGAAGGUGGUGUACUUAAUACGUGCAUGGCUUGACGUUAGCUGCAAAAAAAGCACCGGCUAACUCCGUGCCAGCAGCCGCGGUAAUACGGAGGGUGCGAGCGUUAAUCGGAAUUACUGGGCGUAAAGCGCAUGCAGGCGGUUUGUUAAGUCAAAUGUGAAAGCCCGGGGCUCAACCUCGGAACCGCAUUUGAAACUGGCAGGCUAGAGUCUUGUAGAGGGGGGUAGAAUUUCAGGUGUAGCGGUGAAAUGCGUAGAGAUCUGAAGGAAUACCAGUGGCGAAGGCGGCCCCCUGGACAAAGACUGACGCUCAGAUGCGAAAGCGUGGGUAGCAAACAGGAUUAGAUACCCUGGUAGUCCACGCCGUAAACGCUGUCUACUUGGAGGUUGAGGUUUAGACUUUGGCUUUCGGCCGCUAACGCAUUAAGUAGACCGCCUGGGGGAGUACGGCCGCAAGGUUAAAACUCAAAUGAAUUGACGGGGGCCGCACAAGCGGUGGAGCAUGGUGGUUUAAUUCGAUGCAACGCGAAGAACUUACUACUCUUGACAUCAGUGGAACUUCCAGAGAUGGAUGGGUGCUCGGAACCUGAAACAGGUGCUGCAUGGCUGUCGUCAGCUCGGUUGUGAAAUGUGGGUAGUC
rnacentral:rRNA from 1 species